AUUUCUCCCACCAUGCACUGCUGUACGAGAGGGAUACUCCCUCUAGAAUAUACAGCUAAGUGGAUUAUCCCUCCGUGCAGCAGAACUUUACAUUUUACAUUAAAAUACAUAACUUCCAUAAUAUUCCCUUUAUUUAAACGAAUGGACGUUCGGUAGAUUGCUGGGGUCUGAGCGCACAGUUUGUGAGAAUACCGCUCAGAUCCCAGCCUUACUAACCGAACGCCGCACGAAACACACAUUAUUUUCAAAUCACCUUUAACGUACCAAUCGGUAUUAUGGGAACAAACUACCGAACACCCGGGGCUCCUGGAGGUCCAGCGGUGUUCACGACGUCGAGUAGCCAAUUUUAGUUUCAGGCGCUCAACGACCAAACACCGCUGGGCUAACAAAGGAACCGAGAUGGCAGACCGCCGCGUGGUCGGUAGCUGAACGACGGCCACCUAGGGAAGCCUUUAACUACAAAUUGCAACAAUGUUGCAAUCGGUUAAUGGGUGCCACACGACGACCUGUGUUUGGUCGUCCAUUCGGUAGGUUGUUCGUUUCACGAACCGUGUUGAAACUCACUGUUCGUGAAACUACAGUAUGAAUGCUGGGGUUUUCAUGCCGCCAGCAUACAAAUGCCCUAAUUUGCUAGGAAUGUAAAUACAGUCAUAUACUUGGUUCUCACAGCUUUAGAAGGAAUAUAAACAGAUUCAUAUAGUGAUAGUCUUAAGUGGCUAGUUUUGCCACAAUGUACAGUAUAUUAAUUUUACAUUUGAUUUUAUGAAUUAUAAUUGUCAGUAAAAGUGCAGGUUUUGUGUAAAACAAAAAAAUGAAAAACACUAAUAUAAACGCUAACUUUGGCAAGUGUUUGUGGCUACUACAAAAGACUGGACAUACCCCAUUUUGAAUACCCUUGGUUGUCUACCUUUUCAAAUGAUAUGUCAUGGUGGGGUUAAUUUUCAUUUCUGGGCUGCCAUACCAUCUCAAAGGCAACAUAGGCCCAGCAAAUCAAUCUGGCAAAUUUCAAUGUGCAAACAUGGAAAAGGGGAAAGCCCUACAUUUGACCCCUGUAAAUUUGCAAAAACCUAUACAUUGGGGGUACUGUUGUACUCGUGAAACAUUUCUGAAUACAAAUGUGUAUUUUAGUUCUGUAAAAUCCAACAGGAUUAUGACAUUCAUAAAAUGCCAUGUAGAACUUGAAAAAAAACUUAAUUUUUCAUACUUUUUUAUAUUUCAUAUUAAAUUGUUU